CGGCCACAUCACGUUCAAACACCGGUUCACGUACGAUCACCGAUGUUAAGCGACCUUGAUCCUGUUUAGUAGCUGAAUGGGUGACCGUUUAGAAAUACCAGCUGUUGUAA